AAAGCCUGUAAUAAGAAGAGGCCCUAGUGGUGUUUAUCUCUCUCUCCAUGUGUGCUUCCAUGCUGUAAUUGCUGAUUGCUGUUUGUGUGAAGUCUGACUAAAGUACAUCAACAUGAAGAAAAAAAGUUGCUGUUUUACACAGAGAGCAGUGCAACUAAAGAGGAAGAGAGAAGAACAAUAAAUAAGGAAGCUGAUCUUCAGAUACCUUACAGAUUCUGAGCUAGGAACAUCAAAACUGUCUGCCCCAGAUUUCUGUUUAUGUGAAAUGACAAAAAUUUUUUUUUGGUAUGAGAUGAAAAUGAAAGAAAUUGUGCUAUAUUUGGUCAUUCCAGGAAGUGCUGAAGAAUUUUUUUUUUAAAAAAAGCCUUUUUGUAGAACUCCCCCAUUAGCUGUGAUGAGAUUUUUAAAGGACAAAGCUUAUAGAGAGGCCUUUACCCCCCCGCCCCGAUCGAUUUGAAAAACUAAAUGUAAUUCUCAUCCACACUUAUGUGGUGUGGCAAAGUUUUAUUUUGUCAAGAACAGAAGAAAGUCAGAAAUUGGGACAAAGAACUGCUCAGACAAAGGAGGCUUCUAGAAUGAAAAACUUUUCUUCCUUCCAUCCUUUCCUAUGUCUGAAGAGCUUUUUCUUUUAAAAGUGUGUUGUCCAUUUUGUGAAAUUUGCUUCUAAACGGCUUAUGAGGCCCAUUUCUAGUAAAAGCUUGGAAAACAAUUUUACUUGAAACAACUACAAUGUUUUUAUUCAAAUUUAGUAAAUUCUGCUUUGUU